rnacentral:rRNA from 1 species
CCUACGGGUGGCUGCAGUGAGGAAUAUUGGGCAAUGGAGGAAACUCUGACCCAGCCAUGCCGCGUGAGUGAAGCAGGUUUUCGAAUUGUAAAGCUCUUUCGGAUGUGAAGAUGAUGACGGUAACAUCUAAAGAAGCACCGGCAAACUUCGUGCCAGCAGCCGCGGUAAUACGAAGGGGGCAAGCGUUGUUCGGAAUUACUGGGCGUAAAGGGUGUGUAGGCGGGACAGCAAGUCAGAUGUGAAAGCCAUGGGCUCAACCUGUGGCCUGCAUUUGAAACUGUUUUUCUUGAGUACGGGAGAGGCAGACGGAAUUCCUAGUGUAGCGGUGAAAUGCGUAGAUAUUAGGAGGAACACCAGUGGCGAAGGCGGUCUGCUGGACAGCAACUGACGCUGAGGCGCGAAAGCGUGGGGAGCAAACAGGAUUAGAUACCCUUGUAGUC